rnacentral:rRNA from 1 species
AUUGAACGCUGGCGGAAUGCUUUACACAUGCAAGUCGAACGGCAGCACGGGUGCUUGCACCUGGUGGCGAGUGGCGAACGGGUGAGUAAUGCACCGGAACGUAUCCAAUAAUGGGGGAUAACGCACCGAAAGGUGUGCUAAUACCGCAUACGCCCUGAGGGGGAAAGCGGGGGAUCGUAAGACCUCGCGUUAAUGGAGCGGCCGAUGCCGGAUUAGCUAGUUGGUGGGGUAAAGGCCUACCAAGGCGACGAUCCGUAGCUGGUCUGAGAGGACGACCAGCCACACUGGAACUGAGACACGGUCCAGACUCCUACGGGAGGCAGAAGUGGGGAAUUUUGCGCAAUGGGGGAAACCCUGACGAAGCAACGCCGCGUGAAUGAUGAAGGCCCUUGGGUCGUAAAGCUCUGACAGAGGGAAAGAAUGUGGGUGGCUAAUAUCCAUUCCACUUGACGGUACCCUCAAAGGAAGCACCGGCUAACUCCGUGCCAGCCGCCGCCGUAAAAC